ensembl:lncRNA
AUGGGCACCGGGAGGAGUUAUCCCGGUUUGGGUGGAGUAUUCCGGUUUCCAUGGACACCGGGAGGAGUUAUCCCGGUUUGGGUGGAAUAUCCCGGUUUCCAUGGGCACCAGGAGGAGUUAUCCCGGUUUGGGUGGGGUAUCCCGGUUUCCAUGGGCACCAGGAGGAGUUAUCCCGGUUUGGGUGGAAUAUCCCGGUUUCCAUGGGCGCCGGGAGGAGUUAUCCCGGUUUGCUGGAGCUUCCCGACGAUUUCCGUGUUUAUGGGUGGGAGUUAUCCCGAAACUUUCCGGGCUCGCCGGGAGGAGUUAUCCCGGUCUGGGUGGAAUAUCCCGGUUUCCAGACUCACCGGGAGGAGUUAUCCCGGUUUGCUGGAGCUUCCCAAAGCUUUCCAGACUCACCGGGAGGAGUUAUCCCGGUUUGGGUGGAAUAUCCCGGUAUUCCAGACUCACCGGGAGGAGUUAUCCCGCUCUGGCCGGAGCAUCCCGGAGUUUUCCAUGCUCCCGCUCCGGCUGGAGCAUCCCGGUUUCCAUGGGCACCGGGAGGAGUUAUCCCGGUUUGGAUGGAAUAUCCCGGUUUCCAUGGGCACCGGGAGAAGUUAUCCCGCUCUGGCUGGAGCAUCCCGGUUUUCCAGACUCACCGGGAGGAGUUAUCCCGGUCUGGCCGGAGCAUCCCGGAAUUUUCCACGCUCCCGCUCCGGCUGGAGCAUCCCGGUUUCCAGACUCACCCGCCGCAAUUAUCCCGGUUUGACCGGAGCAUCCCAAAGCUUUCCACGCUCCCGGUUUCUCCCAGACGUGCCGCGCUCCAACCUUUGGAUCCUCCGGGAGCGCCCUCCGCCACAUCAUCCCCGCUCCUGGAAUCCCUGGAAUCCCUGGAAUCCCGCGAUUCCCGGGCCCAGCCCGAUCCAGCCGUGCCUCAGCCCUCCGAGCCCCGCUCCCUCCGCCCGCCUGGAUGAUCCCGGCUGGCAAAUCCCAAAUCCCGCAUCCCAAAUCCCAAAUCCCGCAGAUCCUUGCCAGCUUCCCAGGCCCUUUUCCAGGCGGGAAGGGAAGCGCAUCCCUCGGGAAUGCCGCGCAUGGAUGGAUGGGGCAGCGUUUCUUGCACUAAAUCCCGACCCAGCCCCGCCGCCGGUGCCGCUUCUCCCUCAUCCCAAAUUCCCAGCGGGAAAUUCCCGGCUCCAGCUCCGAAUUCCUUGGAAUUCUGUCGCAAUAAGGGGUGGCGGGAUAAGGAGGGGACACGGGAGGGGGUUGGGGGGGGUGGGGGUGGGAGCCGCUUCGCUGCUGCCGCGGGAAGGAUUCCCUGGAUUCGCUUUUCCAGAGGGAUCCGUGCUGGGAAUGCGCUGCCGGGAAUCGGGAAUUCGCUGCCGGGAAUUCGCUCCCUCCUUUCCCUGCUUCGCUUCGCGGGGUGGUGGCACUUGGGGACAUUCCCAAAGGGAAAAAUCUGGGAAAAGAGGGAAGGGCUGGGAAAAAAAAAAAAAAAAAGGGAGGUGGGGGGGAGUUUCCCGCUUCCCAAAAGUCAGGUUGGAAUUUUUUUGGGAUUUUCCCCCCCCCCCCCUCCUUCCUCCUCUUUGGAAGAAUCCGUGGAAUUUUUGGGGGGUCGGGGUGGUUUUUUGGGAAGGGGGGGAUCCUAAAUGGAGCCAUUUUCCACAGCAAUAA